GCGCGUCGGGAACUCGACGAUGACAAGGAGGUCGGCCUCGUCCGCGAGGACCUUCGCUUCCUGGCGAAGUCUUUUUUCGGUUUUACCAAAGGAGCGGCCUCGCCGCUUCCAUCCUGGACCUCAG
rnacentral:misc_RNA from 1 species